UACGGAGGGGGCUAGCGUUGUUCGGAAUCACUGGGCGUAAAGGGCGCGUAGGCGGCUCAUGAAGGCUGUGGUGAAAGUCCGGGGCUCAACCUCGGAUCGGCCGUGGCGACUCGUGGGCUGGAGCACUGUAGAGGCGGGUGGAAUUCCGGGUGGAGUGGUGAAAUGCGUAGAGAUCCGGAGGAACACCAAAGGCGAAGGCAGUGUCCUGGGGAGUACCUGACGCUCAGGUGCGAAAGCCAGGGGAGCGAACGGG
rnacentral:rRNA from 1 species